rnacentral:rRNA from 1 species
CCUACGGGAGGCUGCAGUGGGGAAUAUUGGACAAUGGGCGAUAGCCUGAUCCAGCCAUGCCGCGUGUGUGAAGAAGGCCUUCGGGUUGUAAAGCACUUUCAGUGGGGAAGAAAGCCUUGGGGCUAAUACCCUCGAGGAAGGACAUCACCCACAGAAGAAGCACCGGCUAACUCCGUGCCAGCAGCCGCGGUAAUACGGAGGGUGCGAGCGUUAAUCGGAAUUACUGGGCGUAAAGCGCGCGUAGGCGGUCUGAUAAGCCGGUUGUGAAAGCCCCGGGCUCAACCUGGGAACGGCAUCCGGAACUGUCAGGCUAGAGUGCAGGAGAGGAAGGUAGAAUUCCCGGUGUAGCGGUGAAAUGCGUAGAGAUCGGGAGGAAUACCAGUGGCGAAGGCGGCCUUCUGGACUGACACUGACGCUGAGGUGCGAAAGCGUGGGUAGCAAACAGGAUUAGAUACCCCGGUAGUC